UACGAAGGGGGCUAGCGUUGUUCGGAAUUACUGGGCGUAAAGCGCGCGCAGGCGGCUCUUCAAGUCAGGGGUGAAAGCCCAGAGCUCAACUCUGGAAUUGCCUUUGAGACUGUAGAGCUUGAGUACGGGAGAGGUGAGUGGAAUUCCCAGUGUAGAGGUGAAAUUCGUAGAUAUUGGGAAGAACACCGGUGGCGAAGGCGGCUCACUGGCCCGUUUCUGACGCUCAGGCGCGACAGCGUGGGGAUCAAACAGG
rnacentral:rRNA from 1 species